GGGAAAGAGCACACAUGGCAAAAAGAAGGCUUCAAAACCUGUUCCCAUCUACCAUUUCUAGAAAGUCAUUCUUGGAGGCAGGAGAACCUUUCCGAAACACGUGGAAAUAUAAAUCUGGCAGAUUGUGAGAAUCCGGCAGAAUAAUUCCCUCCUCCAUCCCAGACUUUUAACGUCAUUUCCUCGAAGCCAAAUUGGCCUCCUAGCGUCUGCAGCAGCUAAGGGGCCGAGUGUCGCAGCUGUCUGGAGAGCUGCCUUGGGAAGGCGCACCCAUACCUACCAACAGGAUCCUUGAAGCAAAAGUGCCAGAGAAAGGGAACUGGUGUGCUCACCUACUACGUGGGAGGGGGCAGGCGCUGCCUGCCCCAGCAAGAGCUGGGAAAACUGUAGUACCGUCCCAUAGAUCUUUGCGGUUCUCCCUGCUUCUCCAGCCCCUCUACAACCAUUCAUCUCCAUUGCAUCUUUAGUUAUUCCAAGAACAGAAGAAAACACCAAAGCCAAUGACCCUACUACAUGAGCUGCUCUGUGGGCCUCGGCUUCUUCAUGUAGAAGACCAGCAUGUAGAGGAUUCACUCUCCACGAGGUGACUAGGCUCAGUGUUCAAGACCUGAGAGUGCAGAGUUGAGGCUGACUGGUGGACCUCAGGCAGGGAUCCGAAAGGACUCUGAAAUAGACUAAGACUGGAGCUCAUUGACAUUCAACAGGCUGAACAUGGGCCUGGCAAAAAGAGGAUGCUCAGCCAGUGUCUAUGAGACUGCCACUGUUAGUGUGGCUUAUGCUAUUAAUAUGUAUUAUAUGUGGUGCAGUAUUUUGUAAUAUAUAAAUUACUUUAUUAUAUUAUUGUAUUUAUCUGUUCUAGCAUUCAUUCCAAGUGUUAAGGAAUAUUUCAGACUUGGGGUUUUGUGUUUGAAUAUUUGAACAUAUAUAGUGACACAUACAAGUCUAAGCCUAGAACCAACCCAUCAGUACCUCUCACCUGAAGCUGAUACUAUAUAACAUUUGAUUUUAUUUUAAUUAACUGUAUGCAUGUGUGUCUAUGGGAUAUGUGCACAUGAGUGCAGGUGCCUCAGAGGACAGAGGGGAGCAUGUAUGUAUGGAGUUAAAGAGGGUUGUGGACCAGCCAGUGUGGGUACUGGGAACAGAAUUAGGGUCCCCUGGAAGACCUGUAUGCUAGUGAGUUUUUACUGACAACUUGGUACAACCUGAAAUCACCUGGGAAGAGGGAACGCCAACUGAGGAAUUGCCCAGAUUAUAUUGGCCUGUGGUCAGGGUUAGUGAACAAUUGUCUUGAGUGUUGAUGGUUAUAAAGAGCCUAGUCCACUGUGGGCAGCACCAUCCUUAGGCAGGUGGUCCUGAACUGUAUAUGAAAGCUAGCAGAGUAAAAGUCAGUGAACAAGCCAGCAAACAGCACUCCCUGAAGGUUUCUGCUUCAGUUUCAACCCUGACUUCCAUCAAUGAUGAACUCUGACCUGGAAGUACAAGCCAAAUAAACCUCUCAUCAGUU